GUCGACUGGAACGUUCUCCAAGACUUGAACCGAGUAGCGUCGUUGGAGGUAUUGCAAUUGAGGUGAAAACGACCAACUCCGGCUAACGGUUAGAGUGGUUAAAGCGUAACGGUCGAGGUUAUCAACUUGGCAAUUGUAGGUAGGGAAUUAGACAAUUUACCUUGACGACGAGAAUGACGGGCUGGACUAGUUCAUUAUCCUCCAAACUCCGAUUUAGAGAAACGGAACCGUUUAAUGGGUCAAGAAAAAAGUCCUGUUUAUUGGAAGUCGGGAGUUAGAGGAAAAAACCCAAACGAGCAAUUUAGAAUGUUGUUGUUACCUGCGUUCCAGGCAUAACGAAUAGAUGCAUUGAUUCCGGCGUCCUGAUCAACGGCCCGCAUCGGUUCCGGUCGGAUUUCCAGGCCCGUUCCCUGGAGAAACAAGACAAAAAAUCGAGAGUGAGACUUCUUCAUUGUCUGGGCUUUAAUGAGCGUGAGAUUCUUAGUGUGCGUGUCAAUGGAGACGACCGUUUCGUUGCUGGCCUCCAGGCGCAUAGUGAUAUCGCCAUCGGCACUCGGAUCGCCCGCAAUCCGUAAAACACCUGUGUUAUUUUCACGUUAUGUGUGUGUGUGUGUGUGUGUGCAUAUUUUGUUUGUUUAUUUGUUUUUUCGCCAGCGGGUAACAUGUUGUUGCAUUAAAAAAAGAAGAAAGAAAGAAAAAUAACAGUUUCUUUCAACAAUGUCUGGAAUGAUGAGCGGGGGAAAUACGGAAGAAUUUAAAUGAUGUUAUGUCCAUACCGAUA